UAACACAAAUAGUUAUACUAAAGAUUUCCAAGACAGAAACACUCGAAAUCCUGGCGUCGAUCUUCAAAUCCACAGAUUUGGUGAUCUACCUUAACAUGAAUAGGAAGAAACAUGUGAAUUUCGACUUCUCAUUGCUUAUAGAGAAUUGAUUGAAUGUUUGCAGCGAAAGUACUGCAGAUUCUAACGAUCUUUGCACUUCUCCGCGGCUCUUGGAGCUAGACCAUUUGCAUCUGAACUCUUCAUGAUCCUCAGCUUCUUGCAGGAUUCUGUGAACAUCUCCCAUGGGACAUCACCGACAAGCAUCCAAUCACCGUCCUUGUCUUCAUAAGUAAGAGCGUAUUCAGAUCCAUGUAGAAGAUCCGCCAAUUUGCUUUCUUUAAGUCCAUCACUUAGAGAAAUGCCUUGAGUUUCACAUUGGCCAGCCUUGAAGCAACGGAACAUUUUCUCUAGUGCUGAAGAUAGAUCCUUAUAGCUGUUGUACAUAGUAAGAUCAACCUUCCUCAGGUACGGAGCACCAUCCAUGCUGACUUUGACAUAAUGACAACCUGCUACUAGCUUACCAUUUGCAUCUUCCUCAGUCUUUGGAGGAUUACUAACCAUAUUCUUCCGAAAAGAUCUAAUUGGUGGCCAUCCUACUACUUGUGCCUUUGCAGCUGGAGCAACCCCAUGACUAUUAGUACUACAAAUCAAGGCCUUUUUCUCUUCCACUGGUCUAGGUGAUUUUGGAGUUCCCUCUUUCACAGAGCUACUCUCAUUGCAAACAGAACCAAGAAUCUUAUUUCCAACUUUUACACCCUUUGGAGAAACAAUAAAGCUACUGUUUUUAACAAAAUCAACUUCAGAUCCAAAACCCCAUCUCCCAGAAUCACCAUUUAUGGUAUCAGAAAAACCCCUUUUAGCUCCAGAAGGGAAAAUUUUCAAAACCCCAAGUGGGUAAUCAUUCUUAUCUGGUGGUGAUUCAGAACCAGGCAAGCCUAGUCUAAGUUCAGUUGCCUUAAAGUUCAAAUCUUUACUGUCCAUUGAUGAAACACAGCUCUUAUCAGAGUUCCCUUCAAUGGAUAUAGACAUCAAAAAUUCAAGAAAA
rnacentral:misc_RNA from 1 species